ensembl:lncRNA
CCUCUUCUGGCUGUGCCGGGUGGAGAUUAUAACAGAACAUGGCCAAGAUGUUCAAAUGUUCAUAAAUGACCAGCAUGGUCGUAUAAUAAUAAGGCAGAACAGUUGAAACUGGAGCAGCAGCACGGUCAGGUGGAUUGGGGACAGCAAGGAGUCAUCAUGUCAGGUAGUCCUGGGGCAUGGUCCUAGGGCUCAGGUCCUCCGAGAGAGAGAAAGAAAGAGAGAAUUAGAGAGAGCACAUGUGGGGUGGCCAGUCCUCUUCUGGCUGUGCCGGGUGGAGAUUAUAACAGAACAUGGCCAAGAUGUUCAAAUGUUCAUAAAUGACCAGCAUGGUCGAAUAAUAAUAAGGCAGAACAGUUGAAACUGGAGCAGCAGCACGGCCAGGUGGACUGGGGACAGCAAGGAGUCAUCAUGUCAGGUAGUCCUGGGGCAUGGUCCUAGGGCUCAGGUCCUCCGAGAGAGAGAGAGAAAGAGAGAAUUAGAGAAUGCACACUUAGAUUCACACAGGACACCGAAUAGGACAGGAGAGGUACUCCAGAUAUAACAAACUGACCCUAGCCCCCCGACACAUUAACUACUGCAGCAUAAAUACUGGAGGCUGAGACAGGAGGAGUCAGGAGACAUUAUCAAGCAGAUAUUUUAAUGCAAGGCUAUUCUUCGCUGACAAUCGCUUCGCCAAAGAUACAAAUUACAGUUUUUUGUUGCAAUUUGUCACAGAGAUGCAUCAGGCCAAGGAAAGUAUGUCGCUUCAGCUCUGUAAAGGAAAGCCCAUGACCAGAGAUGGACGCAGGAUAAACAAUAGAUUCAGGGAUGCAAACUGGUCACCUUUUGGCGAAAUUUGCCGUUUUGAAUCCAAAAUAGGUUACGAGCUACGUGCUUCGUGUAGAUCUGACAAGAAAAAUUGGGGCGGGGGAUCACUACUGGCUGUAAGCGGACGAGUAAUGCACGUUUGGAGCAAUGCUCACUGUAUCCAAGGCUUAGCCAAUUGUGCUGCAUUCUGCUAUGUGAACACGACUGAAGAGAGAAGAUAACUAAUUAGCUAGUUACAGCAUCAGCACACGCUCUGGAAAGACAGCAGAGUGGAAAGGCAGUUUGCCAGUUACAGCAGCAUGUCCCCUGAACUAUUACGAAGAGGUGAGAAGUCGGAACACGGAGAUGUGGGUGAGAAGGUGAUGGAGCUGUACUUCAUGAGCUGUAACCGACAAACAACUGGCAUUUGGAAAGUUUGAGGUGAGGGAGAAAGUGUGGUGGAACAAGUGUUGUUAGUAUUGUUAAGUAUCUUGCUAGCUGGAUCGAAUUCUCCGUUAGCUAGCCAGAGAAAUGUUGAGCAACAUUAGCCAACUUAACUGAUCAAAUAAUUUAGUUUAUGGUGUGAAAAUUAGCUGACUAAUAAAGUCAGACAGCUAAUGUUAGCUAGGUAACGUUACAACAUCAGAUGAGCUAUCCAAUUCGCUAUAUUAUUAACUGGUAUACGACUCCUUGCCGUUCCUCAAGUUAUAACGUGUUAGUUCUUUACUAUCUAUGAAAUAAUGUUUUCCCUCUACAGUACGUGGUUAAUAUUCAGAAUGAGAGAAUUUAGGAGAAAAUGAGGUGUUGCUUGUUAAACAAGUGGAUUCAGAGAUCAAGUGUAGCUGGAGCUGGGUCUGGCUUAAACUGGAUGCAACUAUAGAGGUGAAAGGAACGUCACACAUUUUCCCUCUCUCACUUUUUCAAUACAGUGGAUAAAAAGGGGUAUGCCAGGUAUACUCUCUGCCUGAAAGAGAACAAUUAUGCAAACAAAGGGUAUCACGCUCUGCUGGCACAUUGUAGAACAGAUGCCCACAGGCAGAAAGUGUACAAAAAAACAAAAUGUGCCAGAAAUUGUAGUUUUUCUAGGUGGCCCCCAUUUUGUCUGGAGUGUUUCCAAGCGCGUGGAAGAGAGCGCAUUUUUUUGGUAUUUUUCUCCCUGGUAAAGACAAUAAUGAUUCUCAGUCUUAAAUUGUAUUGUUUAUUUACGUAUUAGGGUAUGUAAGGUUUGAUUAUAAACGUUGUUUGACUUGUUUGGAAAAGUUUAUUUAGUAACGUUUGGGAUUCAUUUUGUAUGCAUUUUGAUUGAGGGAAACUGGAUGGAUUAUUGACUGAAGCUCGCCAGCUAAACUGAGUUUUUAGAAGGACAUUAUCGAACAAAACGACCAUUUGUGAUGUAACUGGGACCUUUUGGAGUGCCAACAGAAGAAUAUCAAAGGUACGGCAUUUGUUAUAUCGCUAUUUCUGACCUUCGUGUCGCACCUGCCUGGUUGAAAUAUGUUUUUCAUGUGUUUGUAUGCGGGGCGCCGUCCUCAGAUAAUCGCAUGGUAUGCUUUCACCGUAAAGCCAUUUUGAAAUCUGACACCGCGGCUGGAUUAACAAGAAGUGAAGCUUUAUUUUGAUGUAUU